AGAAAGCCGUGACACAUUUUUCUAUGUUUUCCUAUGUGAAAAUGUGUCCUGACUUUCCUGA
rnacentral:pre_miRNA from 1 species